rnacentral:rRNA from 1 species
AGCGAACGCUGGCGGCAGGCUUAACACAUGCAAAUCGAGCGGGCAUCCUUGUGGUGUCAGCGGCAGACGGGUGAGUAACGCGUGGGAACGUGCCCUUCGGUUCGGAAUAACUCAGGGAAACUUGAGCUAAUACCGGAUACGUGCGAGAGCAGAAAGGUUUAUCUGCCGAAGGAUCGGCCCGCGUCUGAUUAGCUAGUUGGUGAGGUUACGGCUCACCAAGGCGACGAUCAGUAGCUGGUCUGAGAGGAUGAUCAGCCACACUGGGACUGAGACACGGCCCAGACUCCUACGGGAGGCAGCAGUGGGGAAUAUUGGACAAGGGGGGCAACCCUGAUCCAGCCAUGCCGCGUGAGUGAUGACGGCCUUAGGGUUGUAAAGCUCUUUUCUCCGGGACGAUAAUGACGGUACCGGAGGAAUAAGCCCCGGCUAACUUCGU